rnacentral:lncRNA from 1 species
CUAGAUCUUUCUCUAAAAAUGUUCUACUCUGAGAAAUUGUGAGCAAAGUACCAAGAUUUAAAGCCAUCAGGGGACUGAAGUGAGAGCAACUUAUGAAAAGAUCAAGCAAAAGGACUCAAAUAUUUGAAAUAAACAUACACGUCCUGCUGGUCAAGUGUGCACAUUGGAGAGUCAGCACUGUGUGGUGAUUCUUUAAGGGAUUCAUCUAGGGAAUUUGAAUUGUGACAAGACUUUAACUUCAUGAAAGAUGAGGAAGAGUGCCCAUUCAGGCUUUUAAAAGUGAGAAAUAAAGGGUGACUUUUUAGUAUGAGGUUUUCAGAACUUGAAAAUAAAGAAUUUGUACCACAAAUAUCUCUAGGAAUGGUGAUCACUUAGGUCUCUGAGAAAAAGAUCCACAAGAGUGAACCACAAUUGGAAGCAAACAGAACUUGUCAACACAGGAAAGUCCAGAGGGAAAAUAACAUUUUGGGGUUUUGGAAAUCUGGAUUGUAGCAGGGCAUUAUAAGUUAAAAAAUCAUCUUCCCAUUCUGUUCUUUGCAAAGAUAUUUCUGUUCCUUAAAUUUGUUGAGGGUAAGAGAUUGCAGAUUGCUUCUGUGGACUUCUUGAAGGUGGAUCUGCCUGUUGGUGGAGAACCCUAGACUGCAUGCAGCCAUGCACAUGAUCUGGAGACACA